rnacentral:lncRNA from 12 species
GAAUUCUUAAAAACACUGUAAAUUGUUUCACAAAUGUCAUUUUUGCUGGUAGGAGACCUCUGUAAUGACCUUAAUGUGAAUAAAGUAAUGGUGAUAGCAGAAGCAGCAAGUAAUUAACUCGACAAAGAGACAAAUGUGCAGGACCUGUGAGGAGGGGGUGGAAAAAUGGAAACAUACUGAGCAAAGAAAGUAGAAAGAAGCCACUGGAAGAGGAAAAUAUAAGCCAGUUAUAAGAAGGAGUUCUGCAAGGAAAGAGGUCAGCCAAGAAGGAAAAGAAAGGAAAUUUUUUUAAGGACUUAUAAUUCUGGACAACCUUGUAAUGAUUUGCUGGCAAUGUAAUAACCUGUGUGGAUGCUUCACUAUUAUCAGAUGUGCUGGUAUAUCUUCUGGGAAGGAGGAAGAGAAGAAGGAAAUUGAAAUUGUCCUACUGAGCUUCGCAAAAACAUGUCACUUACCUCCCAUGAAGUCAAUUUGACUAUUUCAGCAUGAAAAGAAGAGAGAAAACCAAGGUGGCUGGCCACAUUGACCUAAUUUAAACUUGAUGAAAAGAACAAAAGCAAAUGAAGUAUAAUUGUUACAGUGAGAAGAGUCCCUAUACUGAGGACCAUUAAACCUGAAGCACAUGCUGCCUGUUUACAUUGCACCUGUUCAUGGAGUGGUGUACUUAAAGCUCAGCCUGGAGGCUGUACCAGGAAUCGUCUUGGUGGCUUUUGGGGUUUUUUGUCUUGAAAUGUUUCACCUUUUGCUUAGUUGUUUUUGUUUUGUUUUGUUUUGUUUUGUUUUGUUUUGUUUUGUUUUGUUUUGUUUUGUUUUGUUUUGUUUUGUUUUGUUUUGUUUUGUUUUGUUUUGUUUUGUUUUGUUUUGUUUUGUUUUGUUUUGUUUUGUUUUGUUUUGUUUUGUUUUGUUUUGUUUUGUUUUGUUUUGUUUUGUUUUGUUUUGUUUUGUUUUGUUUUGUUUUGUUUUGUUUUGUUUUGUUUUGUUUUGUUUUGUUUUGUUUUGUUUUGUUUUGUUUUGUUUUGUUUUGUUUUGUUUUGUUUUGUUUUGUUUUGUUUUGUUUUGUUUUGUUUUGUUUUGUUUUGUUUU